rnacentral:rRNA from 1 species
UGGGGAAUAUUGCGCAAUGGGGGGAACCCUGACGCAGCGACGCCGCGUGAGUGAAGAAGGCUUUCGGGUCGUAAAGCUCUUAUCUGCGGGAAGAAGAGACGGUACCGCAGGAGAAAGCCCCGGCUAACUACGUGCCAGCAGCCGCGGUAAUACGUAGGGGGCAAGCGUUGUCCGGAGUAACUGGGCGUAAAGGGCGCGUAGGCGGAAUAAUAAGUCAGUUGUGAAAGAUAUGGGCUCAACUCAUAGAACGCAUCUGAAACUGUUAAAUCUGGAGUAUAGGAGAGGGAAACGGAAUUCCUGGUGUAGCGGUGAAAUGCGUAGAGAUCAGGAAGAACAUCAGUGGCGAAGGCGGUUUCCUGGCCUAAAACUGACGCUGAAGCGCGAAAGCAUGGGUAGCGAACAGG